GGAGAUUUUUCAGGGAGCCGAGUUGGUGUGGUAUCUCCAGUUGCAACCUGUUGCUGUGGAGCUCCAUUGUCUCAAGGAGCCUGCAGUUAGCUAGUGACGGUGGAAUCUGCCCUCCAAUGGAGUUCUCACUGAUAUCUAGAUGCCGGAGAUCAAGAAGGUCACUGAGUUCUGGUGGCAGGGUACCAGACAGGCGAUUUUGUGGCAAAUGGAGCCGUCUCAAGUAGGUAAGGUUACCGAGUUUAGGCGUGAUGGUGCCAAGAAGGUUGAGCCCAGGGAGAUCCAGUGCUAUGACCCGGCCAUGGCGCAGCCUCCUCAGGCCGCAUGCCACGCCGCGCCACUGGCAUACUGGAAUGGACUGGUUGCCCCAAGAUGCCAAUCCCCUUGAUGGAUCACUCUUUAUGUGUGCCCUGAAAGACAAGAGUGCGACACGGUCAGUUGCGCUGCUUGUAGAAGCUUUGUGGGUAUCAGGCAGGGAUGGCAGCCCUGGGGUGGCCCCCGCUGAACAGCAUACAACGAGAAGGAAGGUAAAAACAAAUGGCAACGCCACCAUGGGUUUCAUUAUUGAUGCUCUGUAAGCUGGCUGGUCGGUUUGAUUUCAGGUAGGAACAGAGUGAGGCUGGUGUGUUACCGUAUUCAGGCUUCAGAUGGGAGAAGUGAUGCGGUGUUUCUUCUGGUUAUAUAGAGAGGUAGGCCGGUCUAGGUUCAAUUGUUGUAGUACAGUGUGUCUAUCCAAUUGGAUCUUUGCACUAACAUAGCAGCCAAUCAGCCAGUGACCAAUCUUUGUGGCAAUCCUGGUUGCUGUUGGGCAAGUUGGGGAAGAAUUUCGGAACCGUGACAAGUGGUCAGUUGAGGAGCAUGCAAAGGCCUGCCGACUACAGUUUACUGCAUGCGUGAUGUGAACCUCAACUGUGGUACACUUUUACAUCAAAUUGCAUUUACCGAUGACUCAUGGAUGAGCUAAGCCUGAAGUUUCACGAGUCUGCAUUACCUUUUUUUUUCCAUUCUUUUGGGAUGGUGCUAAUUAUUCAAUCGUUCCAUCAGUGCUUUUGCUGCGUGAACCUGACCCUACCUAAGCUUUGAUGAUUCAAAUGAUUCUGCUAUAAACUCUGAAGAGUUUGCUCUUUGUAAACAAGCAUAUUGAAAUUAUAUUUUGUUUCAUUUCUGGACGCUGGAGAUAUGCUGAUAAUGGCCAACUGGUGGCAUUCAAUCUAAGAAGAUGGCCAACUGGUGGCCUUCAUGUCUUGUCAUUGACAUUUUGUUCAAUGAUUGGGACAUGAUUUUGUAGUGCAGAAGAAAGGAAUUCAAAUUGUUCAGUACAUCGCCGGUACAAGAAAAGCAGAAUUGACAGACAGAGACAGGCUAGCAAGAAAUGCUGCGAGGUGUGCUAGCUAGCUGCUGACUUUGUUCGAUGGUGGCGAUUGAAAAGACUGAGAUGGCUGGGAUCGGAAGGGAGCUACGGAAAGAAUAUGUGAGAUAAAUUGUUUAUCAAAAGUCAGCUUGUUAGCCGCUCUAUUCUUUUCUGAU